rnacentral:rRNA from 1 species
GCUGGGUGGAUUACUGGCGAACGGGUGAGUAACACGUGAGUAACCUGCCCCUGACUCUGGGAUAAGCGUUGGAAACGACGUCUAAUACUGGAUAUGAUCACUGGCCGCAUGGUCUGGUGGUGGAAAGAUUUUUUGGUUGGGGAUGGACUCGCGGUCUAUCAGCUUGUUGGUGAGGUAAUGGGUCACCAAUGCGACGACUUGCAGCCGGCCUGAGAGGGUGACCGGUCUCACUGGGACUGAGACCCGGCCCUAACUCCUACGGGAGGCAGCAGCGGGGAAUAUUGCACAAUGGGCGAAAGCCUGAUGCAGCAACGCCGCGUGAGGGAUGACGGCCUUCGGGUUGUAAACCUCUUUUAGUAGGGAAGAAGCGAAAGUGACGGUACCUGCAGAAAAAGCACCGGCUAACUACGUGCCAGCAGCCGCGGUAAUACCUAGGGUGCAAGCGUUGUCCGGAAUUAUUGGGCGUAAAGAGCUCGUAUGCGGUUUGUCGCGUCUGCUGUGAAAUCCCGAGGCUCAACCUCGGGCUUGCACUGGGUACGGGCAGACUAUAGUGCGGUAGGGGAGAUUGUAAUUCCUGGUGUAGCGGGGGAAUGCUCCAAUAUCAGGAGGAACACCGAUGGCUAAGGCAAAUCUCUGGGCCGUAACUGACCCUGACGAGCGAAAGCAUGGGGAGCGAACAGGAUUAGAUACCCUGGUAGACCAUGUCGAACCUUGGGCGCUACAUGUCCGGACCUUUCCACGUUUCUGUGUCUAACCUA